ACAUGCCUACAACAUAGUUUUAAUGCACCGGAUCCCAUUAGAACUUCACAGUUAAGCACGCUUAGGCUAGAGUAGUACUGGGAUGGGUGACCGCCCAGGAAGUCCUAGUGUUUUACAUGCC
rnacentral:rRNA from 1 species